CGUUCCCGGGUCUUGUACACACCGCCCGUCACACCACGAGAGUUUACAACACCCGAAGUCGGUGGGGUAACCCGCAAGGGAGCCAGCCGCCGAAGGUGGGGUAGAUGAUUGGGGUG
rnacentral:rRNA from 1 species